UAAGAAGAGACGAGGCAAAUUUUAAAAUCCUUCGUGGCAGCACUUACAUCUGCAGUCAGCACUUCUCUUCAGAGGAGACCUACGUUUCUGCAAGUGGUCAAAAGAAGUUAAAGAAGGGAGCAGUACCAUCUAAAUUCCCGUGGAAUGAUUGGGGCAAAGGAAGAGGUGAGCAAUCUGCAAAGCGAUGCCUGUUCCAGGGAGCAGCACAGAGGAUUGAUCCCACCUGGAGGCAGUGCAAAAUGAUCAUGACUACAGCUGCCAUCCCUCUCCUGGUAAAAUGGACAGAGCUGCUAGGAAGAUUCAGCAGUUGGAGGUGGAAAUCUUGACACUUCAACACAAAAUCCAGCAGCUGACAUUUAAAAAUCAGGAGCCAUUAAUUUAAAAAAUUUUGUCUGACCGACAAGGACUACCAUUACUACACAAGAUUCAGCUCCAAGAAGGUCUUCACUCUGUUUUGGGUGGCUGUUAACC